GACGAACGCUGGCGGCGUGCUUAACACAUGCAAGUCGAACGGAAAGGCCCUGCUUGCAGGGUACUCGAGUGGCGAACGGGUGAGUAACACGUGGGUGAUCUGCCCUGCACUUCGGGAUAAGCCUGGGAAACUGGGUCUAAUACCGGAUAGGAGCCACUUUUAGUGUGAUGGUUGGAAAGUUUUUUCGGUGUAGGAUGAGCUCCCGGCCUAUCAGCUUGUUGGUGGGGUAAUGGCCUACCAAGGCGGCGACGGGUAGCCGGCCUGGGAGGGUGGACGGCCACAUUGGGACUUAGAUACGGCCCAGACGCCUACGGGAGGCGACAGUGGGGAAUAUUGCACAAUGGGCGCAAGCCUGAUGCAGCGGCGCCGCGUGGGUGAUGACGGCCUUCGGGUUGGAGACUCCGUUCGCUGGGAACGAGGCUGUUUGUGACGGUACCUGGAGAAGAAGGACCGGCUAACUUCGUG
rnacentral:rRNA from 1 species